AUGAACGCUGGCGGCGUGCCUAAUACAUGCAAGUCGAGCGAACAGACGAGGAGCUUGCUCCUCUGACGUUAGCGGCGGACGGGUGAGUAACACGUGGAUAACCUACCUAUAAGACUGGGAUAAGUUCGGGAAACCGGAGCUAAUACCGGAUAAUAUAUUGAACCGCAUGGUUCAAUAGUGAAAGACGGUUUUGCUGUCACUUAUAGAUGGAUCCGCGCCGCAUUAGCUAGUUGGUAAGGUAACGGCUUACCAAGGCAACGAUGCGUAGCCGACCUGAGAGGGUGAUCGGCCACACUGGAACUGAGACACGGUCCAGACUCCUACGGGAGGCAGCAGUAGGGAAUCUUCCGCAAUGGGCGAAAGCCUGACGGAGCAACGCCGCGUGAGUGAUGAAGGUCUUCGGAUCGUAAAACUCUGUUAUUAGGGAAGAACAAAUGUGUAAGUAACUAUGCACGUCUUGACGGUACCUAAUCAGAAAGCCACGGCUAACUACGUG
rnacentral:rRNA from 1 species